rnacentral:lncRNA from 1 species
UGAUUGGGCAAAGCUCAAAUAGUUACGAACAGGAAAUUUCCAUUCAACAAUUAACAGAGGAACUAAGCAAACAGAAGCUCAAAAAGGAUAGAAAAGAGCAGGUCAACAACUAACCCACAUAUUUUACCAAGUAAAUGUUGUCUCACAUAACAGUAAAUCUUGAACUUAACCAAUACAUACAGAUAUACCUUCCAUCACUCAUGUCUCACAUAACAGUAAAUCUUGUCCUAAACCAUGCAGCCACUGCACCAGUAUUGGAAGCUAAGAAGAUUGCCAAUUAAACAAACCAGAUUAGCCAUACCCCGAAAACCAUAUUUCUGUCCAAGGAAACACAGAAAGGUAGUUAGAAACGAAGAGGAAGAACUAUACUUGCAAGGAUGAAAAUCCCAUAUAGUUGAUGGAUGGAUCAAGUUAUC